CAGUAGAAGUCAGAGAGAGGUAGGCCUACAAUGAACGGUCCAGACAGUAAAAAUCUGCAUACAUUGCGGAGAUGGUCAACCAGAUUUGAACACAAUCAGAUCACAAUGCGACUUUUAUGAGUCUACACCCGUGUUUUCAAUGCGAUAUUUGUAUUCUCAUGGCAGAAAUCGCAAAAAAAAUUCAAGAUUAGACGUGACCUGAGCAGCGACAAUCAAGCGAACAAGUUUUUCGCACUUGAUCGUUUGAGAUCCACACAUCCAUAAUUAGUUGUUAAACAACAGUCCUGAUCCGGGAAUCGGAUUGGCUAUUUGCACUUCAGGGAAACACUGUCACUACUGCUAAGGAAUGCAUCCUAGUUCAUCUACUAUCCAGCUUGUUCUCACCUCAGUGUCAGCAGUCUUGAACCGGGUGCUAGGAUGCUGUGGCCGUUAUUGGAGACGUUACACUCCAGAAGAGGAUACGUUAUCUUGUCCUGUAAGAGAAACCCAACCAGCACCUCGCUCUAGCUCUGUGAGACCCUGGGUUUGGGAUGUUCAUCAUGACCUGGCCCCGGCAUAUGGGAAUUCCAAUGACCUGCACUGAAGAGAAAAUGGAAAGGCUCUUCUUUACUCGGUUUUCAUUUUUGUUUAUACCCCAUUCUCAGCCUACUGGUAGGUGAUUGGUCUGUUUCAGCCAGAUCCUGUUGAGCUCUUGCCAAAUAAAACCAUACAUAUAACUCAUGAAACCAGGGUAUGUACAGUAAGUCUUGUGUAUAAUAAAUUAUAUUUAAGGAAAUGUUUGUCUGGCUAAUAUCUAUGGAGUCUAUUUUACUGGGUUGGUGUCAGUAGGUCUCGUCUUAGCUGUAAAGGUCACAACCUACCUCUUUACCUCUGAAGUGUACGUGCAUGGUAAUCAUUAUUCCAUCCAGCUUUCAACUUCACACACAUUACACAUCUUAGAAUCUGUGGUGAGGUUGUACACAUCCCCAUGUGCUAGACUUCUGAAUGGGGUAGUGGAUUUAAUACUGGUCCCACUCAGGCCAGUUAAGUACCAUAGCUUAUAUAUGAAUUAUAAUUCGUUGUGAGGUUUUUAAAUGAAUUUUAUAUUCUUAAGUAUCAAACAUCUGAAAUGGAAUACAAUGUUGUGGGGAAUAGGAAAACUGAGUAUUACAAACUUUUAUUCAAAAUGUGAGAGAUAGAUGUGCUAGAAAGUGACGGACCAUGGGAAACGUUUGAACGCUUCUUCAUAUUCACUUUGGCUCGGAUCACAGCUGAAAUGCAAAGUAUUAAAUGCACUUGGUGACAUCCUCAUACUCACACAUGUACAGACAGACCAGCCAUGUCAGUUACUUGCUGUUAUAAA